rnacentral:rRNA from 1 species
AACGAACGCUGCGGCGUGCUUAACACAUGCAAGUCGAAACGCGAAAGGGGACUUCGGUCCUGAGUAAAGUGGCGCACGGGUGAGUAACGCGUAGAUAACCUGUCUUCAUGUCUGGAAUAAUACGCCGAAAGGGGUACUAAUACCGGAUAUUCUUGCUUUUCAUAAGUUAUGCAAGCAAAGGUGGCCUCUGCAUAUGCUACUGCAUGAAGAGGGGUCUGCGUACCAUUAGCUAGUAGGUGGGGUAAUGGCCUACCUAGGCGACGAUGGUUAGCGGGUCUGAGAGGAUGAUCCGCCACACUGGCACUGGAACACGGGCCAGACUCCUACGGGAGGCAGCAGUGAGGAAUAUUGCGCAAUGGGGGAAACCCUGACGCAGCGACGCCGCGUGAGUGAGGAAGGCCUUCGGGUCGUAAAGCUCUGUCAAGAGGAAAGAAGUGUACAAUGGCUAAUACCUGUUGUAUUUGACGGUACCUCUAAAGGAAGCACCGGCUAACUCCGUGCCAGCCGCGGC